AUAAUAAUAAUAAUAAUAAUAAUAAUAAUAGUUCAUAAACAAUUUAAUAACGAAAUAUAGUUUAUAAUGUAGACGGAUUGAAGGAUCUGUCAGCCCGGCAACGUCUUGCUACAGCAAUAGCAGAAAAAGCGCUGUACAUUAUUAACUAUAUUAUAUUUAUAAAAUAAUGUAUGUAUCACUAAGAACCUACAUAAAAAAGAAAAAAAAAAAAGAGAAAGAAAUAAUAACUAACAAAAACCGAUUGCGAUUUGGUCGUCAUCACCGCGAUUUAAUUCGUACGUCAACGAGAAUAAUCAUGAGCCGUGAACUGAUAUUUAAGAAAAAUUAACCGCCAGCGCUCCAGACUAAAAAAAUUACAAUUGUUAUGGUGUUGCCAUGAGUACGGAAAAUGGGGACAAUCGACUAUUUCAAUUUCAUAUCAGUGUAAAUUCACUGUAAAUAAUAUGUGAAUUUGUCAUCUGAUAUUUGAGCUAUUGUCCUCUGGAAGCGCUGUACAUUAUUUCAAUAGCCGUUUUUGAAUAUCAGUUCACACGAGUCACUGCGGAUCGCCCACUACAGAUCGUCGUGAAAAAUCUCAAAUCGUGGUCAUUACAAACAGUAGCGCACGCAGGACUUUUUCCGGGGGAAAUUGUGCUUAUAAUAAUUUUACAGAUAGGACAUAGCACAUAUUAUCAGUGCAGUACUAUCACUGUUAUUGCUAAAAAAAUGAUUUUUGAUGAAAUUAAAUUUUAUUUUAUACUGUGCUACUGUGGUAUAAGAUAUUAUGUUGUGAAUGUAAAACUUGAUUUAAAAAAAAAUGUAACGAAGGAAGACAUUUGGAAGGGGAGUUGACCUCUUAAUCACCUCGCCCUUGCGUGCGCCACUGGUUACAAAGUUUAUUGUUAUUGUUUUAUUAUAAUAAACUAAAUACACUCGUAAAAAAAAUCGUUUCUCGUGAAACCCGAUGAAAGAGUAGUGUUUUUUUUUUGUUUUUUUUUUUUUAAAUUAAAAUAUAAUAAUAAUAAUAUGCGUAUAGGUAUACGAAAGUUUUUUUUUUUAAAUAUAUAUAUAUAUAUAUAUUUUUUUUUUUAUACAGUUUUUUAGCGAAAACAAAAUGUUAUACAAAGUAUAUGAUUUUUAUUUUUCGAAAAUCGCGUUCGAACGGCGGCUGUCAUCCCUGUGAUGGACUCGGAAUUUUUCGGGACUCGUGUUUUAACAGUAAUCGGCCGAAACUCGAGCCAAUAAAGUCUAAGCGAAACCACGUGAAAACUAGAGCGCGCCCGUGCGUAGACUCUCGAACAAUAAUAAUAAUUAAUACGUUUUUUAAUAAAAUAAUGGCGUGAAAACGGUUUGAAAUUAAAUCGUUUCACAAUCCUUAAAAACCGUUUGGCCGAAUAUUUAUUAUACCCGUUUAUAAAAUAUCGUGUACAAUGUCCAUAAAUACGAUAACAAUUAUGUUCAUCGAUUUAAUGUAUUAUACGUUUGUUAUCUUGUUAAAAUCGAAUCGGAUGUAGGCACUCACUGUAUCAUUCGAUAUUUUAAAUCGAGUAUUUAAAGAUAGAAAUCGGGACGUAACUAUUUAAAAUGACGGGCAAUAAUGAUCACAAUAAUAAUAACAGUAAUAAUAGUAAUAAAUUGGCCGUGUAACGCACAGAUAAAAUGUUGUUUAUGUGUUCAUUUUGAUAAAUCAUUUUAAACGGUUUCCAUUUCGUAAAACACUUACGGUCGGGACAAUUAUAAUUUUGAAAACGAUACGAUUUUUUUUUUUUUUUUCUAAGACUGUUCUAAGACGUUUGCGCAACAAGAAUCGAGUUCGAUUUUAAACCGUUUUGCCGCCAUUAUAAUAUAAUAAUGAUAAAAAUUAAUGUAACAAUAAUAUUGUUAAGGCGUCGGGUGUCUAUUAAUUUAUAAUAUUAUAAUGAUAAUAAUAAUAAUAAUAAUAAUA
rnacentral:lncRNA from 1 species